rnacentral:tRNA from 2 species
GCUCUCUUAGCUUAGUCAGGUCAGAGCAGCGCACUGUCGAUGCGAAGGUCACCGGUUCGAAUCCGGUAGGGAGCGCCA